GUGGGAGACAGCCAUGGAAGAGGGUUUGGAGCUGGUAUUCCAUAUUUUGGCUUCACCGUAUGUGUUUUGGUAAUGCCUCGUACCCUAUUCCGGUGUUGGAUACGGGUAAGGGGUGUUACAGAGAUAAUUCUGGGAGUGUGGAUGGGACAACCUUUGCCUUAGCUGAUGAGGUUGCAGCUUCCCCAGGAUCGGAAGAAGAAAUUGCUACUGAAGUUUCCAAUGGCUUGUUGAAAAUGGAAAAUGAGGGAUUAGUAGACCUCGGUUAUGUGACAUCAGACCCAAAUUUUAAGGAAGAGGUGGCUAAAGCCAUUCGAUAUUUUAGAAGCAAUGCAAAAGAUAAUGCUAACACGGAAAAUGAGAAGAAUUAGUGAGGGAAUGAUGCAGCAAAUUACCAUAAACAUGUAAACUAAUCGCAACGAGCAACCUUACGCAAUGUAAUUGAACAAAAAAAUUAUGCACGUUAAUUGAUAUAUAUUAUUUACUUAAUGACAAAUUUGUAACAGCAAUAAAAAAAUCUUAAUUUCUUAA